rnacentral:rRNA from 1 species
GACGAACGCUGGCGGCGUGCUUAACACAUGCAAGUCGAACGGAAAGGCCCCUUUGGGGGUACUCGAGUGGCGAACGGGUGAGUAACACGUGAGUAACCUGCCCUUGACUUCGGGAUAACUUCAGGAAACUGGGGCUAAUACCGGAUAGGAAUCCUUGCUGCAUGGUGGGGGUUGGAAAGCUUCGGCGGUUUUGGAUGGACUCGCGGCUUAUCAGCUUGUUGGUGGGGUAGUGGCUUACCAAGGCUUUGACGGGUAGCCGGCCUGAGAGGGCGACCGGCCACAUUGGGACUGAGAUACGGCCCAGACUCCUACGGGAGGCAGCGGUGGGGAAUAUUGCACAAUGGGCGGAAGCCUGAUGCAGCAACGCCGCGUGCGGGAUGACGGCCUUCGGGUUGUAAACCGCUUUCAGCGGGGGCGAAGCUUGUGGUGACGGUACCUGCAGAAGAAGCACCGGCUAACUACGUG